GUUGUUCUCCCCCUGUACUCGGCACUGAGUAGUCUGCACCUUGAGUGCUGUGUCCAGUUCUGGGCCCCUCAGUUUGGGAAGGACGUCGAGACACUUGAGGACAUCCAGAGGAGAGCAACAAAGCUGUCUGUGGAUUGCCCAUAAUCUCAGUUCAUGAGACUACAGUGCCUGGUUUUUUACUUGGAAAGGUGAGGAACAGUAGGAGGAGUGUGAGAGCACAGGUGACCAUGCUCUGCUGCAAGAGUGGCCUGCAGGCAUGUCAGAAAUUAAAGGAACAGCUGAACAAAGUCAAGAAGUAAUUGAAAACAGCCUGAAAAUGAGGAAAAUCAUCUUCAAUAGAGGCAGGCAUAAACUAGCAAGCUAUGGGAAAAUAUGUCCAGUGUCAAGCUGUCUGCAAUCAGCAUCUCAUCUUGAGAGAAGAUCCAGGGUUUUGGAGACAAAUAAUUAUCUGUGAUUCAUCUUUGUGAUUUUAUUAGGCCAAAAUUACCCCCAAGUAUGAAAACCCAGUUAAGAACUAGGGUGCUUGAGACUAGGAUCUAUAUUUUGCACUGUGAGUUCUACUUUGACAUUUAAAAUAUUUUUACACUUGCUUAUCUGAGUGAGAUAGUAAGUCCCUUGGAGAAGUAAAAUGAUACAGAUAAUUUGGUUUAAUUUUUCACAAAAGGAGUUGCUCAUGUGUUUUUGUUUUCUCUGUUUCCUUGGAUACUAGAGAUUUCAUAUCACAGUUCAGCCACACAUACAUUUUCUAUUCCAUUACCGCACCUGGAAUAUGUAUGAAAAAUUCCCAUAAAUAGUUAAGACAUGAACAAGACCUCAGGAGUAACCUCAAGCAGGAAGAUCCUGAUCAGGGUCAGACAGAAGUGGACAGGGAAAACAGACAGAUCGUCAUCUGCAUAGGCUUCUUAAUGCUGCUCUUGCUUUUCUAAGAAGUCAGGACUUGCACAGGAAUAUUCUCUUCUCAUUUUGAGGCUGAAGUUGUUUUUGCUUUUGGCAUUCAUCUGAGUAUGCUCAAAAGAUAAUUAAUUAGACCAUGUGCAUAGUUUGGACUGAAAUCCAGUCCAGUGCAUUUUAAAACCAAUUUUCAUAAGCAUUGCACAAUCAUAAGUGUGUGACACUGAUCAGAACCUCCACCUGCAAAGGUACACUUACACGUGCAGAUUGAUUUGCUAAUCUUACUAACCAUUUCACAUAGAAAUUAAAAUUCUUUCUAUUCACU